AAUUAUUGAAUGUAUCUCAUUCUCAGGUCAAUCACUUUGAUUCUCCUUCUAGACUCUUCUUCUUCUUCUCCUAGUUCUUCAAGAGCUCUCUCUCUCUCUCUCUCUCUCUCUUUCUCUUGGUUCCUUCCUUGGCCUUCUAUUCCAUGGCUUCUGAUCUUCAAGCGAGGGCCAAAGAGGCAUUCGUCGAUGAAGACUAUGAUCUCGCGAUGGACCUUCUCACUAAGGCCAUCGCUUUUGAAUCUAACAACGCUCAAUACUAUGCCGAUCGUGCCCAAGCCAACAUCAAACUCAACAACCUCGCUGAGGCUGUUGCUGAUGCAAACAUGGCAAUUGAGUUGAAUCCUUCUCUCCCAAAAGCAUAUUUGCGGAAAGGUACUGCAUGCAUGAAGCUUAAGGAAUAUCAGACAGCUAAGGCAGCUCUAGAGAUGGGUGCUUCAUUGGCUCCAGGGGAUUCAAAAUUCAUUGAUAUGCUCAAACAAUGUCAUGAGCUCAUUGCUGAAGAAUCUGAUGUCACACCUAUAAUACCAGAAAAGCACACGACAACUCGGGGUGUUUCUGCCAAAGAACUUGAGCAAGUGAAUGACGUUUCACAGCAGAUGACAAUAGCAGUUGCUAAACCUAAAUACAGGCAUGAAUUCUACCAAAAACCUGAUGAGGUGGUGGUUACCAUUUUUGCAAAGGGCAUUCCACGGGACAGCGUGACUGUUGAUUUUGGUGAACAAAUACUAAGUGUUAGAAUCGAUGUACCUGGUGAGGAUGCAUAUGCUCUUCAACCUCGCUUGUUUGGAAAGAUCGUACCUUCCAGAUGCCGAUAUGAAGUUUUGUCUACCAAGAUGGAAAUCCGGCUUGCAAAAGCAGAACCUAUCCACUGGGCAGCUCUUGAAUUCCGUGGAGGUGCAACAGUUCCACAGAGGGCUAUUGUUUCAUCAGUUAUCAACGUUCAAAGGCCUACUUACCCUUCCUCUAAACCAAAAAGAGUAGAUUGGGAUAAGCUGGAAGCUCAAGUUAAGAAAGAGGGUCUCAAUUUCAGGAAAAAGAUGAAAAGCUUGAUGGUGACGCAGCGCUGAACAAAUUCUUCCGCCAGAUAUAUCAAGAUGCAGAUGAGGACACCAGAAGAGCAAUGAGCAAAUCAUUUGUGGAGUCUAAUGGAACCGUACUGUCCACAAACUGGAAAGAAGUGGGAUCCAAGAAGGUUCAGGGAAGUGCUCCUGAUGGCAUGGAGUUGAAGAAAUGGGAAUAUUAGUUUUGGAUCAAUAUUAAUACUUGUACAUCAUUUCAUUUAUUAUUGGAUGCUCAUUAAUAUUAUUUUUGGCAGAUAACAUCUGAUUAAGAAAAAGAAUUUUUUGUUACAUC